AUAUAAAAUGACUCUCGGCAACGGAUAUCUCGGGCUCUUGCAUCGAUGAAGAACGUAGCGAAAUGCGAUACUUGGUGUGAAUUGCAGAAUCCCGUGAACCAAUCGAGUCUUUGAACGCAAGUUGCGCCCGAAGCCAUUAGGCUGAGGGCACGCCUGCCUGGGUGUCACAC
rnacentral:rRNA from 1 species